GCUGAGAUCAAGAGUUGAGAUCCAGAGUCAGAGGCGUGACUGACUGAGCCUCCCAGAGGCACCUUUGGUGACCUUUCUACUGCCAGAGGAGGAAUGCACCUUUCGAACAUGAGAAGCAAAAGACCAUAUGGUGUAGGAUUCUGUGUCUAUGAAAUGUCCAGGACAGGCAAAUCCAGGAGACAGAAAGCAGAGAGAGAAAGAGAGCACAAGCAGGGGGAGUG